AGAUACUAGUUUUCCUUUUCUUUUGUGGGGGAAGAAGUGUUUUUUCAACAUCCUUAAUUACAUUUUGAAGAUGUGAAAAUUGGUGAUUUUGUAUUGAACUUACAUGCAUAUUGAAAUGGAAGUGUUUCUUGGUUGAUAAGUUAAAACCCUCUUAUCAUUAUUUGUAGGUGUGAGAAAUGGUGAUAUUUGAUUAAAAAUCUGCAUAUU
rnacentral:misc_RNA from 1 species